rnacentral:rRNA from 1 species
UACGGAGGGUGCAAGCGUUAAUCGGAAUUACUGGGCGUAAAGCGUGCGUAGGCGGUUCGUUAAGUCGGGUGUGAAAGCCCCGGGCUCAACCUGGGAAUUGCAUUCGAGACUGAAUAGCUAGGGUACGGUAGAGGGAAGUGGAAUUUCCGGUGUAGCGGUGAAAUGCGUAGAUAUCGGAAGGAACAUCAGUGGCGAAAGCGACUUCCUGGACCAGUACCGACGUUCAGGCACGAAAGCGUGGGGAGCAAACAGG